CCUACGGGCGGCAGCAGUGAGGAAUAUUGGUCAAUGGUCGGGAGACUGAACCAGCCAAGCAGCGUGAGGGAUGACUGUACAGUGUAUCGUAAACUUCUUUUAUAUGGGAAUAAAGUGCAGUAUGUGUACUGCGUUGCAUGUACCUUAUGAAUAAGGAUCGGCUAACUCCGUGCCAGCAGCCGCGGUAAUACGGAGGAUCCGAGCGUUAUCCGGAUUUAUUGGGUUUAAAGGGAGCGUAGGCGGGUUGUUAAGUCAGUGGUGAAAGUAUGGGGCUCAACCGUAGAAUUGCAGUUGAUACUGGCAGCCUUGAGUACAGUAGAGGUAGGCGGAAUUCGUGGUGUAGCGGUGAAAUGCUUAGAUAUCACGAAGAACUCCGAUUGCGAAGGCAGCCUGCUGGACUGUCACUGACGCUGAUGCUCGAAAGUGUGGGUAUCAAACAGGAUUAGAUACCCCUGUAGUC
rnacentral:rRNA from 1 species